rnacentral:rRNA from 1 species
AUCAGCAUGCCGCGGUGAAUACGUUCCCGGGCCUUGUACACACCGCCCGUCACACCAUGAGAGUCGAUAACACCCGAAGCCUGUAGUCUAACAGCAAUGAGGACGCAGUCGAAGGUGGGAUUGAUAAUUAGGGUGAAGUCGUAACAAGGUACC